CACCUAUCCAUCAAUCUGUACAUAACUAAAACUCUGAUCUUGUUAUCUUCCGGUUUGUGUGUUCUUUCUAUUUGCACAAAAUUGGUUUGUGAUAGCGCUAGGAUUUUUAGCCAGUUCACUCUCCGUUCUCCUAUGCUGCGAUUGCACCGUUUCAUUCCGAUCAG